rnacentral:rRNA from 1 species
CCCUUAGAUGUUCUGGGCCGCACGCGCGCUACACUGAUGCAUUCAACGAGUUUCUUCCUGGUCCGAGAGGAAUGGGUAACCUUUUGAAAGUGCAUCGUGAUAGGGAUAGACUAUUGCAAUUAUUGGUCUUCAACGAGGAAUUCCUAGUAGACGUAGGUCAUCAGACUGCAUCGAUUACGUCCCUGCCCUUUGUACACACCGCCCGUCGCUCCUACCGAUUGAAUGCUCAGGUGAGCCAUUCGGACUUUCAUCAUGCUGGUUUCCAGUUUUGAUGAAGGAAAGUCUUGCGAACCUUAUCAUUUAGAGGAAGGAGAAGUCGUAACA